rnacentral:piRNA from 1 species
UGGGAUUAAAGGUCUAUGCCACCACAAC